rnacentral:rRNA from 1 species
CACAUGCAAGUCGAACGAGAAUCUGCGGAACGAGGAUUCGUCCAAGUGAAGCAGAGGACAGUGGCGGACGGGUGAGUAACGCGUGAGGAACCUGCCUUUCAGAGGGGGACAACAGUUGGAAACGACUGCUAAUACCGCAUGACACAUAGAUGUCGCAUGGCAUUUAUGUCAAAGAUUUAUCGCUGAAAGAUGGCCUCGCGUCUGAUUAGCUAGUUGGUGAGGUAACGGCCCACCAAGGCGACGAUCAGUAGCCGGACUGAGAGGUUGAACGGCCACAUUGGGACUGAGAUACGGCCCAGACUCCUACGGGAGGCAGCAGUGGGGAAUAUUGGGCAAUGGGCGCAAGCCUGACCCAGCAACGCCGCGUGAAGGAAGAAGGCUUUCGGGUUGUAAACUUCUUUUGUCAGGGACGAGUAGAAGACGGUACCUGACGAAUAAGCCACGGCUAACUACGUGCCAGCAGCCGCGGUAAUACGUAGGUGGCGAGCGUUGUCCGGAUUUACUGGGUGUAAAGGGCGUGUAGCCGGGAGGGCAAGUCAGAUGUGAAAUCCACGGGCUCAACUCGUGAACUGCAUUUGAAACUACUCUUCUUGAGUAUCGGAGAGGCAAUCGGAAUUCCUAGUGUAGCGGUGAAAUGCGUAGAUAUUAGGAGGAACACCAGUGGCGAAGGCGGAUUGCUGGACGACAACUGACGGUGAGGCGCGAAAGCGUGGGGAGCAAACAGGAUUAGAUACCCUGGUAGUCCACGCUGUAAACGAUGAAUACUAGGUGUGCGGGGACUGACCCCCUGCGUGCCGCAGCUAACGCAAUAAGUAUUCCACCUGGGGAGUACGAUCGCAAGGUUGAAACUCAAGGAAUUGACGGGGGCCCGCACAAGCAGUGG